GACGAACGCUGGCGGCGUGCUUAACACAUGCAAGUCGAACGGAAAGGCCCUGCUUGCAGGGUACUCGAGUGGCGAACGGGUGAGUAACACGUGGGUGAUCUGCCCUGCACUUCGGGAUAAGCCUGGGAAACUGGGUCUAAUACCGGAUAGGAGCCAUUUUUAGUGUGAUGGUUGGAAAGUUUUUUCGGUGUAGGAUGAGCUCGCGGCCUAUCAGCUUGUUGGUGGGGUAUUGGCCUACCAAGGCGGCGACGGGUAGCCGGCCUGAGAGGGUGGACGGCCACAUUGGGACUGAGAUGCGGCCCAGACUCCUACGGGAGGCAGCAGUGGGGAAUAUUGCGCAAUGGGCGCAAGCCUGAUGCAGCGACGCCGCGUGGGGGAUGACGGCCUUCGGGUUGUAAACUACUUUCGCUAGGGACGAAGCUUUUGUGACGGUACCUAGAUAAGAAGCACCGGCUAACUACGUG
rnacentral:rRNA from 1 species